AAUAAGCAAAGGAAAUGAACAGUUACAGCCAGCUGAUUCACCAGCCUGCCUUUCUGCUUCACCCUCCUGGUUUUUACACGUGUUGUCUGCCUCUCUACCUCUUAUUUGCCUCUUUUUUUUCGCAUUUCUCACUGUUCCGAUGAUGGCUGCGACCGACACCUCCUGGGUUGCUCUGAUGAUGUUGGACCACCAUCACAACGACGGUUUACCUGCUGGAUUAGGAGUGAUUGUUAGGGUUUUCUUGCCUGUAUCAAUCACUCUCGAACCCUUGUGGCAAUGUUGUGGUGGUGGCAUCGUUGACAUAAUCACCGGGUUUUGGGGAUUCGCUGCCUGGUUAGGGUUUCGUUGCUUAUGUGGUGUCGCCGCCUAUCGAGGUGGUGGUUAGGGUUUCAUUGCCCAAAUUAGUCGCUCUCGAACCCUAGGGGGUGAUGUUGUGUUCGUGACGCUAUAGACCUAACACUUUGCUAACCUUCGUCUAUCUCUUUUCAUCUUUUAGCUGAGGCUAUGAUGAGUCAGUAAAUCUGAAUGUAAUGUUGUUGUCGAUUUAGCUUUGGCAUGGCAGGGUUCAAGGAUGGCACUUCAUUAGUUGCAACCUUCCCUGCAGCCAUGGUGGUAUUGUUGUUUUGUGGACUCUGAGCCUGUUUCACGUUGUUUACUGUUUAUUGUGUUUAGUUUAUUUGGGUGCUAUUUUUUCCACAUAGAGGUUAAGAAAUUCCCUUUGAACAUUACAAAUUUAAGUAUAAUGUGGGUCGUCAUUUUUCUCUGAUUGCAUCAGUACUAUUGAAAAUCUGGUUUUGUUAUAAUUUGUAGAGUGCUAAUGGCUAAUGGAAGCACCAUAAGCUUAAGGUGAAUGAUAAAAAGACCCUUUUUGGCCAGAAGCUAGGAGUAGUAAAACGCUAUCAAACAUUAAGGCGAAUAGCAGAAGGGGUUUAACUUCGAUCGUAGUCGAAGCACGUCGUCUCAGGUUUACGACUUUCGUCCCUUUUCAUGACAUAUUUUUGUUGUUCCUUUCGAAUAUUUAAUCUCUGUUGUCUUGAUGAUAAGGCUUGGUAUAGUUUGAGGUUGAGUAAUAUUGAUUUUGUUUCUUUUGCCCUUUUGUUGGAACUGUCUGUUAUGUUGCUGGUAUGGUUUGAUUUAAUUUGAGGCUUCAAUUCAAUAAUUAGUAAUAUUGAUUUUGUUUCUUUUGCCCUUUUAUUGGAAUGUUUAGUAAGAAAUCUUCACAACAGUUUCUUCAUAGUCUAUGGGUUAUAUAUCUUUUCCUUUGUUUGCAAUCCAGUUUAACAUCGUAGCAAUGUUUCGUUUGCUAGAGUAACCAUUGUUUGGUUUUGUGAGCGUGUUGCAGGUUUAAAAGCACAAACUCAAAGCCGUUGUCGCCAAGUUGUGAAUGUGAAUGGCUUUUGUACCAUUUUUAUGGUCUCACUUUGUUGUGAAAUUAACCCGACAAUUAUGAUUGCUUGCUACCAGGCGUGGCAACUUCAGUUGCAGCCGCGGUGGCACUAAGCCGUCCUCACUUGAUAAUUUUGAGAAGUUAUUGGUUGGUUUUGUGUCCUUGCUUCGACUCUAAAAGGUCAACCAGCUCUCAGCUUCUCCACCCAUCGUCCCACACCCCACCGUUGCGCCAAUGUCGUGCUGGUGUUCCGCGCCCACAACUUGGUAUCCCCUCUGCCCCCACAAUACGCUGCCUUGUGCAUAAACUUUUGUUUGUAAAACAAUGUUGUGGUCCAUAAAACUCGAAGAAGGCCGUUUGAGUACUUUCGGAUUACAGAUUCGUGUGCUAAUAUUGUUAAAUUGCAAACAAAGUUCCUUUUGAAGUUAUAGGUUUCGCUGGAUCUAUUGUUGAUGCACUUGGUUCGGGCUUUCGUUUUCACCCGUUAAUUCGGGUUUUGGUAUUCUAUACCUUUUUUAUGAAUUUUAACUUUUCGUCUCUGUAAACGCAUUGCACCAAAGUAACUUCAUGUUAUUUUGUGCAGCAUUCUACUUAUGGAAGUGUCAGCAGAUCUCAAAUAAAUGGUAUGUAUUCAAACCUCUUAUUUGUCCAAAUUCAUUCUUGCUUGAAAAGUAAAAGAAAGAAGGGACUUAAUUUAAAGGUUUUGAUAGCUAACAAGGUGGAUACGACCGCUAUUAUGGUUGGUUUUUUUGCUAUAUUGGUAUGCUUAAGCCAUGUGUAGUCAUAACGCCCCUUUGUGGGCGUUAUGCGACAGGUGCCGCGCCACGUGUGCGGGUGGGCGUUAUGGGGCGUUAUGCAUUUAAGCCCGUAGUCAUAAAGCCCUUACCCAUCAAUACCUAAUUAUUAAUUGUCGUUUUUAUUAAAUAAUUAUAAAAACAAUAACCUUUUUUUUAUUGGUCAAGGUUUGAAACCUUCCUCCACAACGCCGCGAUAUCCAUAGCGCUGCCAAUUUUUUUUGCCUCAUAACCCCGCCCGUAGUGGUGUUCGGGGGGUUAUGGGGGGUUAUGAGAGAAAAUGGCGCCCCACUACGCAUCACCUUAGACGACUUCAGUUUCUUUAGAACUUAAUUUUGUGUAAUCAUAGGGUGCUUAAAGGAUUAUACCAAUUUAGAAGUUAAAGGUUAGUCUGUUUGACCAUCAAAGUCAAAGUUAAACUUUAUUUAUGCCACUUUUCACCAUUUUAAGUACUUCACGUUGGUGCUUUUCAUAAGCUAUUGCUGAUGCUACAGGUCAACUUUGGUGAACAAACAAAAGUGAAGGCUAUUAAGUUGUUGAAGUUGAUGAAUGAAUAUAAGUGUCUUAGAAAGUUUUAUUGAGUCAUUUUUGCUAUGUUUUUUUUUGUCUUUUUUCGGUUUUUUAGUAUCCAUUACGAUAUGCUUUGAUAGUGCGUCAAGUAUACGCGGGUGCUUUUUAUUUGAUGAAUAGAAAAGUAUAAGAUUGUUGUGUUGAA